UGGGGAAUGUUGCACAAUGGGCGCAAGCCUGAUGCAGCCAUGCCGCGUGUGUGAAGAAGGCCUUCGGGUUGUAAAGCACUUUCAGCGAGGAGGAAGGGUAGUGUGUUAAUAGCACAUUGCAUUGACGUUACUCGCAGAAGAAGCACCGGCUAACUCCGUGCCAGCAGCCGCGGUAAUACGGAGGGUGCAAGCGUUAAUCGGAAUUACUGGGCGUAAAGCGCACGCAGGCGGUUUGUUAAGUCAGAUGUGAAAUCCCCGCGCUUAACGUGGGAACUGCAUUUGAAACUGGCAAGCUAGAGUCUUGUAGAGGGGGGUAGAAUUCCAGGUGUAGCGGUGAAAUGCGUAGAGAUCUGGAGGAAUACCGGUGGCGAAGGCGGCCCCCUGGACAAAGACUGACGCUCAGGUGCGAAAGCGUGGGGAGCAAACA
rnacentral:rRNA from 1 species